GCAAGUCGAGGGGUAACAUGUCUGCUUGCAGAUGAUGACGACCGGCGCACGGGUGAGUAACGCGUAUGCAACCUACCUUUUACUGGAAGAUAGCCCCGAGAAAUCGGGAUUAAUACUCCAUAACAUUAUUGAUAUCGCAUGAUAUUAUAAUUAAAGCUUCGGCGGUAAAAGAUGGGCAUGCGUGACAUUAGUUUGUUGGUAAGGUAACGGCUUACCAAGACUUCGAUGUCUAGGGGUUCUGAGAGGAUUGUC
rnacentral:rRNA from 1 species